AUUGAACGCUGGCGGCAUGCUUUACACAUGCAAGUCGAACGGUAACAGGCCUUCGGGUGCUGACGAGUGGCGAACGGGUGAGUAAUGCAUCGGAACGUACCCAGAGGUGGGGGAUAACGCAGCGAAAGCUGUGCUAAUACCGCAUGUGAUCUGAGGAUGAAAGCGGGGGACCGAGCAGCAAUGUUUGGCCUCGCGCCUUUGGAGCGGCCGAUGUCGGAUUAGCUAGUUGGUGGGGUAAAGGCCUACCAAGGCGACGAUCCGUAGCUGGUCUGAGAGGACGACCAGCCACACUGGGACUGAGACACGGCCCAGACUCCUACGGGAGGCAGCAGUGGGGAAUUUUGGACAAUGGGCGCAAGCCUGAUCCAGCAAUGCCGCGUGCGGGAAGAAGGCCUUCGGGUGUAAACCGCUUUUGGCAGGAACGAAACGGUGUCCGCUAAUACCGGGCGCUAAUGACGGUACCUGCAGAAUAAGCACCGGCUAACUACGUG
rnacentral:rRNA from 1 species